rnacentral:rRNA from 1 species
CCCUUAGAUGCCCUGGGCCGCACGCGUGCUACACUGACACUUACACCGAGUUUUUCCAAUGCCGAAAGGCCAUUGGUAAUCAGCAAUAAGUGUCGUGAUGGGGAUAGAUCUUUGGAAUUAUUGAUCUUGAACGAGGAAUGCCUAGUAAUCGUAGGUCAUCAGCCUGCGAUGAUUACGUCCCUGCCCUUUGUACACACCGCCCGUCGCUCCUACCGAUUUCGAGUGGUUCGGUGAAAUCUCGGGACGGCGGCUUGGUCGCUUGCGUCCGACUGCUGAAACUUGAUUAAACCAUAUCAUUUAGAGGAAGGUGAAGUCGUAACA